rnacentral:tRNA from 1 species
AGUAUAGCGUAGUUGGUUAACGCGCCAGUUUGUGGCACUGGAGAUCCUGGGUUCGAAUCCCAGUA